CCUACGGGUGGCAGCAGUGGGGAAUAUUGCACAAUGGGGGAAACCCUGAUGCAGCGACGCCGCGUGAAGGAAGAAGUAUUUCGGUAUGUAAACUUCUAUCAGCAGGGAAGAAAAUGACGGUACCUGACUGAGAAGCCACGGCCCAAUACGUGCCAGCAGCCGCGGUACUACGGAGGGGGCAGGCGUUAUCCGGAUUUACUGGGUGUAAAGGGAGCGUAGGCGGUUUAGCAAGUCAGAAGUGAAAUCCCGGGGCUCAACUCCGGGACUGCUUUUGAAACUGGUGAACUAGAUUGCGGGAGAGGUAAGUGGAAUUCCUAGUGUAGCGGUGAAAUGCGUAGAUAUGAGGAGGAACACCAGUGGCGAAGGCGGCUUACUGGACUGUAAAUGACGCUGAGGCUCGAAAGCGUGGGGAGCGAACAGGAUUAGAUACCCCAGUAGUC
rnacentral:rRNA from 1 species